GGCUCAUCACAUCCUGGGGCUGUAGUAGGUCCCAAGGGUUGGGCUGUUCGCCCAUUAAAGUGGUACGCGAGCUGGGUUCAGAACGUCGUGAGACAGUUCGGUCCCUAUCCGUCGCAGGCGUAGGAAAUUUGAGAAGACCUGUCCGUAGUACGAGAGGACCGGGAUGGACGUACCUCUGGUGUACCAGUUGUUCUGCCAAGGGCAUGGCUGGGUAGCUAUGUACGGAAUGGAUAAGCGCUGAAAGCAUCUAAGCGCGAAGCCAACUUCAAGAUAAGAUUUCCCACCG
rnacentral:rRNA from 1 species